UAUGCUUUGUAUGAAGAAAUUGAUCUGGAAGUUAUAGGUAAAUGUCGUCAAGUUUCAGGUAGAUUUGCCGCGCAUCUCAUGGCGCGCCCUUCCUUUGUCUUUCGUUAUCUAUAAAUUCUUUUGUUACCUAAAAAUCGUGACGUUAAGAUUUUGGGAGAGAACGGGCAGUAAAAAAUAGAUCGUAGACGAGAGUAAUAAUUAGUAAAUAAAAUUUAACAGAGUUAACAAUAAACGUGAAUUGUCGUUUCUUUGUUCACAGAGAAACAUAUUUUCGUAUCACUUCACCCAAAUUAAAGUUACUAUAAAAAUAAGAUAUUACAUAAAGAUAAAAUUUUAUAAUAUUUUUUUAUUUUUUAGAAUCUGUUUAAAUCUUAUUCUACAUAAAGAUUUCACAUUUUCUAAGAUAUGGCUAUGUUAUGCAUAUUUCGAAAUACAAUAAAAAAAUUUUAUUGUAGCGAGAAAAACAUUAGUAUGCUAUUAUUAUAAUAAUUUUUUUUAUUAUUUAUAAGUAUUGAAUUAUUGUAUUUUUAACUAUUUAAUUUCAUUUAUUUCUAAGUAUGGUAUUGGAUGUGUAUCCCAGAGACAAAUUGUUCCGUGGUUACAAUGAUUUAGAGGUAGAAGGUAGAAAAUUUGACAGAUGCAGGAUUCUGUAUGAAAAAUUAUUUGAAUUUGCACUUCAAAACAGCGCAAUAUGAAUGAAAGAAAACUAUAGUUACAUUUAUCUUAUGUUUUAUUCUACUUAUAUUUAUUUAAUUGUUAUAAUAUCUAUAAAGUUUCUAAAAGAAUUAGAAACUUUAUUAGGAGACUUUGACCGUACUAGAGCUAUUUAUGAAUUAGCUGUGUCUUAGGCGAAUUAAGUUAUAUUUUUAUAAAUUACUACUAAAUGUAAUUAAAGCUGUCUUUUUCUUCUAUUUUUAUUUUUUAUCAAAAACAUGUUUAAUAUUUUUAUUAUUUGUAUUAUUAGUUUGGAUAUGCCUGAACUUUUAUGGAAGUUAUAUAUAGAUUUUGAAAUAUACAGGAUGAAAUAGGAAAUACCAGACAACUAUUUGAGAGAUUAUUAGAACGAAAUGUUCAUGUCAAAGUAAGCGUGAUUUCAUGGUAUGAUUUUAUAUAUAUAUAAAACUUAAUUUAUAAAUCUUCUUACAUUAUAAUACACGCGUUUGUAUAGUUUAUGCUAAAUUUGAAUUAGUUAAUUCUCCAUUGGAAGAUGAUGUUGAUAAUGUUAAAUAGUAGAAUAACAUUAAAUAGUUUUGGACGAAUUUAAAUUGAAAAGAAGUAUUCUUAAUUUAUAUUAAAACUAAUCUGUAUUAAAUAGAAGAUAUUUGGCUUCGAGAAAAAGAUUUCGACUUCGUAUUCUCAGAAGGGAAAUAUCUAAGAACAAAUCUUAACUUCUUGGCAUUAGCGAAAGCGUGGAUAAAGCAAAAAAUUUCUAGUGAAACUGCUAAAAAUGAAAAUUAACAAUUAGAAUCAGACAAUUAAAAAUAAUUUAUAUCUUUUGUAUUAUUAUUAUAUUUAUAUUGUGUAAAUAGACAAUAUAAGUAUUGUGGAGAAUUUUAUA